GUGGAGCAGAGGAGACCUGUGAAAAAGUUACCACAGGGAUAACUGGCUUGUGGCGACCAAGCGUUCAUGGUGACGUUGCUUUUUGAUCCUUCGAUGUCGGCUCUUCCUAUCAUUGUGAAGCAGAAUUCACCAAGCGUUGGAUUGUUCACCUACUAAUAAGGAACAUGAGCUGGGUUUAGACCGUCGUGAGACAGGUUAGUUUUACCCUAC
rnacentral:ncRNA from 1 species